AUGAGGCUUGUGAGCAGAAUUGUCAUUGUGCUGACUUUGGGUGUUGUGGGUGAUGCUAAAACUACACAGCCAGAGUCAGUGGAAAGCACCGAAGAGGAAACUGUGCGCUUGCCUUGUAGCCACUCCACAAUUAGUGGGAACGAGUUCAUUUAUUGGUACCGGCAGGCUCCUCAUCGGGGCCCAGAAUACCUGAUUCACGGUCUACAACAAAAUACAACCAAUAGUAUGGCCUCUCUGGCUAUUACCUCUGACAGAAAGUCGAGCACCUUGAUCCUGCCUCGUGUCAGCCUGAGAGACGCUGCUGUGUACUACUGUAUCCUGAGGGUCGCACACUGUGACAGACAGGGCUGCACCUGUGCAAUAAUCUGCCUGGUGGGGGAGGGGAGGCAGCCGCAUCCAUCUCAAGAGGCCUCUGCGCCUCUAGCAGCUCAGCAGCAGAUCAAGAAUGAACCAAGCAGGGUGGCAAAAGGGAUGCUGGGACUGGGCAAGAACAGCUAA